UGGACCGAUGAUGACUGGUGGCAUAUGAGUAAAAGGUGAUAAAUAAUAUGUGUCUUGAACUCUGAGGUCCAA